GGGGGCGACCGGAUUCGACGGGGAUCAAGAGGUCAGCGGGGCAUGCCGAGCUCUCGGGGACUCGUAAAACCUCCGGGGAACAAGCAACUGCCAAUCAAGAACUGGCACUCGCAGCUUAACUAACUGCGACGUCCCUCCGCCUGAGGCCUGCGGGGGUGGAAGGGGCGCGAUGCAGCAGGCUGGUCCAAAGCUGGUGCUCAGCGGCUGAGGACGAGAACACACUGGGCUAGCGGCUGU
rnacentral:tmRNA from 1 species